rnacentral:rRNA from 1 species
UACGUAGGGUGCGAGCGUUAAUCGGAAUUACUGGGCGUAAAGCGUGCGCAGGCGGUUGUUUAAGUCAGCUGUGAAAUCCCCGGGCUUAACCUGGGAAUGGCAGUUGAGACUGGACAGCUAGAGUGUGUCAGAGGGGGGUAGAAUUCCACGUGUAGCAGUGAAAUGCGUAGAGAUGUGGAGGAACACCGAUGGCGAAGGCAGCCCCCUGGGAUAACACUGACGCUCAUGCACGAAAGCGUGGGGAGCAAACAGG